GCCGAAGUGGUGGAAUUGGUAGACACGCUGCUUUGAGGGGCAGUGGCGCAAGCUGUAUCGGUUCGAGUCCGAUCUUCGGCACCA
rnacentral:tRNA from 1 species